rnacentral:lncRNA from 1 species
CGGGAGGGAGGGAGGGUUUGGAACAAAAGCCUUUUGCUUUCCUGGUUUUGUCCCUUCUGUUUUUGUUUUUUUUUUGUUUUUUUUUUUUUUGUGCAACAACUGCCACAUCAGCAAAAUUCAAAUCCCUGUUUUUAUAUCUAUUUUUAUUCCUGGCUGACGAGCAUUUUUCCAAUUUGCCACCCACAACCACCACUGUGAUCUCACGCUGUCCCCUAACAUCUCCUUUUUAACACGCUAUUGUGAUCUCAUUGUGGUAUCACCACCACCCACUACCACCUCUUUUAAAUACCAGCACAACUAUCACUGCCACCGAUCGAAGAAUCCACUUUUUGAUUUGAAAUUGUCGUUGAAAUGAUUCAUGGUUUUGCAGUCAUGUUGGCAGAUGUUGAAGAAGAGGCGGCGAGGACUCUUUGGUGAGAAGAUGGAGGUGAGGAGCAGUUCCAGAUAGUGGUAGUAAUGAAAAUGAUGUUGGUUCUAUAUGUGGUGGGUGGUGGCAAUUUUGAUCUGAAGAUCACGAUGAUGGUGGGUGGUGAUCCUGACCUUUUGCGAUGAGCUAGAGUGGAUUUUUGAAGUCGUUCAAUGGUAGAGUGAUUGGUAACAUAAUAGUUUCACGAUAGGUAUGUUGAUGACUAUUGCAAGAGUGAUUAUGAUCAUGGUAAGCCGUAAGUGGUGGUAAUGGUGGUCAUUAGCUAGCAAGUGUGGUGGCAUUGGGUCAAGAAAGAAGGGGGAUGGUUGACAUCGGGGAAACUCUACUCGAUUGGUGGUG